AGAGUUUGAUCCUGGCUCAGGAUGAACGCUAGCGGCAGGCCUAACACACGCAAGUCGAACGGUAAGUUAAGAGCUUGCUCUUAACACGAGUGGCGAACGGGUGCGUAACGCGUAUGCAAUCUGCCCUUUUCUGGAAGAUAGCCCUUAGAAAUGAGGAUUAAUACUCCAUAGUAUAACAAUUUCGCAUGUUAUUGUUAUUAAAGCUUCGGCGGAAAAGGAUGAGCAUGCGUCCCAUUAGUUAGUUGGUAGGGUAAUGGCCUACCAAGACUCCGAUGGGUAGGGGGCCUGAGAGGGUUAUCCCCCACACUGGUACUGAGACACGGACCAGACUCCUACGGGAGGCAGCAGUGAGGAAUAUUGGUCAAUGGAGGCAACUCUGAACCAGCCAUGCCGCGUGCAGGAUGACUGCCCUAUGGGUUGUAAACUGCUUUUAUGUAGGAAGAAGCCUCAGUACGUGUACUGAGCUGACGGUACUACACGAAUAAGGACCGGCUAACUCCGUGCCAGCAGCCGCGGUAAUACGGAGGGUCCAGGCGUUAUCCGGAUUUAUUGGGUUUAAAGGGUACGUAGGCGGAAGAUUAAGUCAGUAGUGAAAGCCCAUCGCUCAACGAUGGAACUGCUAUUGAUACUGGUUUUCUUGAAUAUACUUGAAGUAGGCGGAAUACGACAUGUAGCGGUGAAAUGCAUAGAGAUGUCGUAGAACACCGAUUGCGAAGGCAGCUUACUAAGGUAUUAUUGACGCUAAUGUACGAAAGCGUGGGGAGCGAACAGGAUUAGAUACCCUGGUAGUCCACGCCGUAAACGAUGAUUACUCGGUGUCGGCGACAUACAGUCGGUGCCUAAGCGAAAGUGAUAAGUAAUCCACCUGGGGAGUACGAUCGCAAGGUUGAAACUCAAGGGAUUGACGGG
rnacentral:rRNA from 1 species